AGACCUGCUCUCGACUGUCCGUGGUGGCAAACCCACAGCCUUUCGCUCGAGGUGGUCUGAUUAUGCAUGGAUGGAUUGCUUUGUUCAGGAGAAGUUAACUGAAUGGCAGCUUCCAGAACUUGUUAAUAGUUUUGAAGAACAGGCAAUUGAUGAGGAGAGUUUUUUGCUUUUAGAUGAGGGGACCAUUAACUGCCUAAUUCCAAAGAUCGGUCUUAGGCUGAAGUUCCUGAAAUACUACAAAGAAUUUAAAGAAAAUGUUGUGCCCUCCACUGCCCCAAUUACAAGCCCAAAUGAGCCCCCAACUCCCACACCUCCUUGCCAAAGAGAAG